rnacentral:rRNA from 1 species
GAUGAACGCUAGCUACAGGCUUAACACAUGCAAGUCGAGGGGAAACGACAUCGAAAGCUUGCUUUUGAUGGGCGUCGACCGGCGCACUGGUGAGUAACGCGUAUCCAACCUGCCCACCACUUGGGGAUAACCUUGCGAAAGUAAGACUAAUACCCAAUGAUAUCCCACGAAGACAUCUGAAUGGGAUUAAAGAUUUAUCGGUGAUGGAUGGGGAUGCGUCUGAUUAGCUUGUUGGCGGGGUAACGGCCCACCAAGGCAACGAUCAGUAGGGGUUCUGAGAGGAAGGUCCCCCACAUUGGAACUGAGACACGGUCCAAACUCCUACGGGAGGCAGCAGUGAGGAAUAUUGGUCAAUGGGCGAGAGCCUGAACCAGCCAAGUAGCGUGCAGGAAGACGGCCCUAUGGGUUGUAAACUGCUUUUAUAAGGGAAUAAAGUGGGUCACGUGUGACUUUUUGCAUGUACCUUAUGAAUAAGGACCGGCUAAUUCCGUG